UGAGGAAUAUUGGUCAAUGGGCGGGAGCCUGAACCAGCCAAGCCGCGUGAGGGAUGAAGGCCCUAUGGGUCGUAAACCUCUUUUGUCAGGGAACAAAAGCGAGUAUGUAUACUAGUCUGAGUGUACCUGAAGAAAAAGCAUCGGCUAACUCCGUGCCAGCAGCCGCGGUAAUACGGAGGAUGCGAGCGUUAUCCGGAUUUAUUGGGUUUAAAGGGUGCGUAGGCGGCGGUGCAAGUCAGCGGUAAAAGCCCGGGGCUCAACCCCGGCGAGCCGUUGAAACUGCAGUGCUAGAGAAGGCGAGAGGUACGCGGAAUGCGCAGUGUAGCGGUGAAAUGCUUAGAUAUUGCGCAGAACUCCGAUUGCGAAGGCAGCGUACUGGCGCCUGACUGACGCUGAGGCACGAAAGUGUGGGUAUCGAACAGGAUUAGAUACCC
rnacentral:rRNA from 1 species